rnacentral:rRNA from 1 species
UACGUAGGGCGCAAGCGUUGUCCGGAAUCAUUGGGCGUAAAGAGCUCGUAGGCGGCCUGUCGCGUCCGCUGUGAAAUCCCGGGGCUUAACCCCGGGCGUGCAGUGGAUACGGGCUGGCUGGAGGCAGGCAGGGGAGAACGGAAUUCCCGGUGUAGCGGUGAAAUGCGCAGAUAUCGGGAGGAACACCGGUGGCGAAGGCGGUUCUCUGGGCCUGUACUGACGCUGAGGAGCGAAAGCGUGGGGAGCGAACAGG